CUUAGUACCUUAAACUUAGUAAUCUGAGGAUGGUUGGACCAAGAAAACUUCCUCCCCUUGCUAUCAUGUUCAUCAUCAUUUUAUUUUUAGGUUACCAGAAAACAAUGUGUGAGGUUGCGGGAGUAGAUGUUGGUGCAUCAUCGGCAAGUGCAGACAGGUACAGGUGCUGCGGUGACAACUAUGUAGGUGCCAGCUACCCAGGCAGUAGUUGCAUUUAUGAUACUCCUGAUGAUGAUCGUUGUAACGACUAUUGUCAAGACAAUAGAUGUUGCGGUAAUUACACUUCUGGCGUUUGCAUAGAAUCUGGAGGCAAACAAUCUUGCAAUUGUGCGUUCAUAUGAACUAGUAUAAUUGAUAUUGCGCUAGUGUACCCAUAAAAUUAUUAUGACUUAUUUAAAUAAAUAAAAAUAAUACACCGUUAUUUUC